CAACCACCCAGCUUCUCUCCAGAUGGCAUCCCAUCAUCCGCAGCAUCUCAACCUUUAUCUCCUAUCUCCUUCCUCAUCUCCUUCCUAAGUAAAGAACACCUUCCAACUCAACAUAAGGCAGCUACAGGUUGGAGUGCAAUGGCACAAUCUCGGCUCACGACAACCUCUGCCUCCCGGGUAUAAGUGAUUCUCCUGCCUCAGCCUCCCGAGUAGCUGAGAUUACAGUUUACCAAAGUGCUUGUUUGUUACAGUUAAAAACACAGCCCACAGGCACUGAGGUGGGACUACAGAACCUUGCUGGACCACAUCUUUUCAGCACAUUUCUGUGACCCUCUGUUUUUGACGGAGAAAACAA
rnacentral:antisense_RNA from 1 species